UUUAAGUAUCAGAUUCAGUAUACCUUUUUCUUGUCUAUAUACUAAUUUAUACUUGUUAUAUUCUUUACAGAAUAUUUUUCAUGGAAGUAUGUCAUUGGAUCAGUUGUACUUUGGAAGACCCAUACCACACUUUUCUAAUUAUAGUUCACCAAUCAGAGGCCUUUAUUUGUGCGGUAGUGGAGCACAUCCAGGUAUGUCCACAAUGCAAUGUUACAGUUAUAUAUGUAUUGCAGUUUCUACACAUUGUAAGGGAAUUGAAUACAUUGUUUUUGCAUAAAUAAACCUAUUAUUAAUAAACUGAUUCAGCUCAAACCGAAUGUCAUGAACGUGAGAAGGGAAAAUCAUAUCCUUUAUAUUGUCAUGCAUUGCCUUAUUAUUGUUUUCAUACACCAUGUAUGGGAGGGUCAUGCAUAUGGUUAAAUAAAUUGCAUUAUUCCCACGGAGCAAAACCCACCUCCCCCUCCCCUGCCCCAUUAAAACCACACGGGGCAGUACAGCAAUGGAGCAAGCAUUAUGGAAAAUGGAAAAACAAGAUAAUACAUUUUUAAUGAGUUACCUUUACCACAGGUAUCUGCUUAUCAUCAUCAUCAUCAUUGAGUUAUAGAACCUUUACCCCAAUCACCUGCUUAUAGUCACUGAGUUAUAGAACAUAUACCCCAGGUAUCUGCUUAUCAUCAUCACCAUCAUCAUCAAGUUAUAGAACCUUUACCCCAAUUAUUUGACUAUAGUCACUGAGUUAUAGAACCUUUACCCCAAUUAUUUGACUAUAGUCACUGAGUUAUAGAACCUUUUCCCCAAUUACCUGCUUAUAGUCAUUGAGGUAUUGAACUUUUACCCCAAUUAUCUACCUAUAGUCUUUGAGUUAUAGAAUCUUUACUCCAAUUAUCUGCUUAUAAUCAUGAGUUAUAGAACCCUUCCUCAAUUAUCUGAUUUGAGUCAUUGAGUUACAGAACCUUUACCCCAAUUACCUACUUAUAGUCAUUGAGGUAUUGAACCUUUACCCUCCAAAUAUCUGCCUAUAGUCAUUGUGUUAUAGAAUCUUUACACCAGUUACCUGCUUAGUGCUUAUAGUCCUGGGGUUAUAGAACCUUUCCCCUAAUUAUCUGAUUAUAGUUAUUACGUUAUAGAACCUUUAUCCCAAUUAUCUGAUUAUAGUCAUUGAGUUUUAGAACCUUUACCCCAAUUACCUACUUAUAGUUAUUGAGUUUUAGAACCUUUACCCAAAUUAUCUGUCUAUAGUCGUUGAGUUAAAGAAUCUUUACACCAAUUAUCUGCUUAUCAUCAUUGAGUUAUAGAACCUUUACCCUAAUUACCUGCUUAUAGUCAUUAAAUUAUAGAACCUUUUCCCCCAUAUAUCUGCUUAUUGAGUUAUAGAUGCUUUUUCCCCACGUAUCUGCUUAUUGAGUUAUAUAACCUUUACCCUGGGUAACUGCUUAAUGAGUUAAAUAUAUUUUAUUCCAGGUACCUGCUUACUGAGCUAUAUAACCUUUAGCUGGGGAAUCUGCUUCUUGAGUUGUUACUCAACAUAUAAAUGUAUGGUCUUUGAGCUCUAUUGCAUUUAUUGCAGGUGCCUUCUUACUGUCUUUGAGUAUAUUGCGUUUACCCCAGUUGCCUUUUUACGGCCUUUGAUUAACGUUGCUAUUACCCUGAUAUCUACUUUUGAUCCUUGAGUAGUAUCUCAAAACAGGUAUUCCUCUUUCUACAUUAAAGGUGGAGGAUGUACCUACAAACAGUUAUGUUACUAAUAGGUAUCAACAAAUUGUCUCUAAUUCAAUUUGAGAUUUUUUUUAAAUUUAAAUCCCACCGUAAACUAAGAAUUACCAUUGAUGUCUCACAACAUUCGAAAGUAGAAACCGGUAUUCCCAUUAGAGCGGCCUAGUGCACAUCAAUACGACAAUUACACACUUUCCAUUAUAAUCACAUGAUGAUCAUGUGAUGCAUUAUUAAGGGUCAGGUGGCUGGAAUAUAGCAUUGCUUUAUCUGUGCUGGACUGACAAUUUCUAUAAAAAAUGAUAGAUUUUGGGAGCUUUGGAGAGGGGAUUUGUGGUUCCCUUAGGACAGGACUCUACUGAUGGCUGGAUGCCGUGUAACCAUUAUUUGCUCUGUGUGCUAUUCAUUUGUUCUUCAUAAUGUCAUAUUUCUUUUGUUGUACAUUAGGCUGCAAUAUCUUUUUUUUUCUUUUGAGAAUGAUCGCCUAGAUACAAUCAUUUAUUCCCAUUUCUUGUUUCUGUUGAAAACAAUUGCAGGAGCUAAGCGCUAAAUAUUUAUUCCUCUGAGUUAAAAUUAUACAUUUGUGUAUAUCAAGGAUAAAUUAAUAUUUUCAGUACUGAGUUGUGGAAAAUAGGAUACAUUUAUUUGUAUUUUGUGGUCCAUAAUUGUAUUUUAUGUGUAAUGUUUUUUUUCGUUAUUCUUUGGGCAUAAAAAGCUUUUUACAUAUUUAACUCUUAUGAAUUGUGGUUUUAUAAAUAAAGUCUAUAUUUUUCUAUCAUUUGUAUAUAUUAUAACUCCAAUAAAAAAUUACACGCUGAAAAGUUAUAAUAAGGAUUGUCUUAUUAGUCCAAACAUUACAUCCACAUUUAGGAAUAUACUGUAUGUUAAAUGAAUCAAACAUUUUUCUACAUAUUUAUCUUUUCUUUCUUUCUUUUAUUUUUUUAAGUCCAAUAAGGACUAGAAUGUUAUAAAUUCUUAUCGUGUCUAUGUGUAAUAAAGACUGACAGUACCAUUAUUUUCCUAUAUACACUUCGGGCAGGUAUGUUGGGUGUCUGUUGGCACAGCACUGCAGACAUGAGGAAUUGUGAUGGACUGUUGCUAGCUAAGCACUGUACAGGUUUGGGGUUGGUAGAGUGCUCUGCAAUCUCAACGUUCUCCUGUUGGCAUUUCCCAGUGGACAGCUCUAUCUGAUCCUUUGUUGUUUUGUCCCCUAUUUUGUUCCCAACUAAAAUUAUCUUUAGUGAUUGAGCCCCCUCGCAUUCCAUGCAAAGCUUACGUAAUCCUCAAUUAAAGAGACACUGCCACUUCGGAAAUUGUAUCACAAUCGAAUAGUGAACUAAAAGUUAGCUAUUGAUAGUGCUAUUUUUGUACAUUAUUUUAGAUUAAUUUGUUGAUGUAGCGGGCACACCAGGCACAGCUUGCUAAAAGCGAGGCAUCGUGGAACAAUUUUGUAACUGUCACGAUACCUGUCCCUCACAGGGCCGUGCGAUUGCAGAAAUGAUGUAUUCUCUGAGUUCUGAUGCGCACACACACUCAUCCCUAGCUUCCUGGUGCCUCAUUAUGACAUCAUAUAUGACUUUGGACCCCUACCAUUAGUUUCCUUUUAUAGUGUCAGCCCAUGUGCGGCUUUUUGAUGAUGUGUACACACUUGUGACAUCAUGGUCCUGUGCGACUAAUCACAACCCGGUAGAGGGUAUAUAUUCUUCCUGGUUGUCCUUGUUUCUUUGCCCUGUCGUGGUUUUUGUUACCAGAGAGUGUGUUUAUACAGUGUAAUGGAGUUACUGUUUUCUGACCCCGCAUUGUUUGACUAUUCUUGCUCUCUGUUAUCCUGAUCUUGGCCUGGCUAUCGAUUCCAUGUAUUUCUGUUAUCCUGAUCUUGGCCUGCUGUCUCUCAUUUAAUCUCUGUCUCAGGCACAAACCCGGCCACUCUAAGGACUGGUACAUGUACCUUUACUGUUUCCUUUAGAUUUGCGUGUUAGGGUAACUCUAUUCCUGGGAGUCAUUGAGAAAGCAGAACUGCCAUUGAGGUAAGUAUUUUUUUUUUUUUUACUUACCUCUGCUGCCUACUAAUCCCAGUGAUACCAGGUGGAAAGAAAAAGAAAAUGUCAGUUCUCUGGACACGUUGGCAGUUUAUGCAUGGUAAACCCUUUAUACAUCAUGUAGGUUACAUUGGAGACAAGAAACAAAAUGUGACAAGGAGGUUAUUGUAAUUGACUUAACCUUCCAAAUCCAUCUGGAAUUAAAUUAGGCCGUUGCUGCUUCUAUUUUUAUCGUUGCUCAUUUUCUUUUAUUAAAAGAUAUGCUGUAUGUUCUUUUUAAACGUUGGUUGAUACAGAGAGGGUGAGCGUGGAAGACUAGAAGAUUUUAACCUACAGGGAAAGUUCAGUGCUGUGUACAAAGUGUGUCAUACAUGUGACACACAAUCUGCAGGCACGGCCAGCGGGACUCAAGAGGCAGCUGCCUUGGGUCCCCCAGGAAGAACAGGGCCCGGGGCAGCUGUCCCUUUUGCCCUGCAUUAAAGACGGCCCAGCAGCCAUUUCUAACAUGCUUUAGGGCAGGCUGGAGGGCAAUUGCCCCCAUCCCAGCCCGCCCCUGCACACAGACUGCUACCAACAGAGCACAAGUUCCUCACUACACACAAAGCAAAUUAGCCUUUCUAUUAUAAUCUUGUUUGAGCAGAGUUUUUCUCACAACUUCUUUUUGUUCCCCUUAACAUGUUAAUCAUUGAUUUGUUGGCACAUCCUAAAUGUACAGUGCUGUGUUGUGGAGUAUCUCAGCUCUAUAUAUAAAUAAUAAAUGCAAUUACAGUGAGUGUGGUAUACGUCAGACACCCACUAUGACCAGAUGUGGAACUGCUGGUAAACUAACCGAAUGAAAGAAUACAGGUAAUUUACCAAUACAGCAAUGCAAAAGGACAUCUGUUCUCCUUGGGAGCAGUAAAUUGAUCUAAGUUAUUUAGAUCAAUAAUCUGUCCUGACUCCUGACUAAGGAGGGUCUUGUCAGUUUGGUGAACGAUGAACUCUAAGUAAUGGCUCCCUGCCAUGUAAUGCCAUAAAGCCCCUGUAUCAUUAAAGCGCUAUGACUUGCGUGUUAGCCACUAUCAACCUGCAUCUGAUUUUCCCACUAUCACAAAAGCACUGUGACCUGCAUAUCACUGCCCCCUUAUCACACUAGAACCCAUAUUGGAUGCACAAUGAACCAAUCAUGGCUGCCCCUAAUCAUGGAGGCACUGUGAAACCUUCGAAACUGAACCCCAUCAAGGAUGUAGUAUGAACAACAUCAUGGACACACUAUGACCCACAUGUACUGCCCCCCCCCCAUCAUGGACACACUAUGACCCACAUUUACUGCGCCCCUCCCCCCAGUCAUGGACACACUAUAACCCACAUGUACUGCCCCCAUCAUGGGCACACUAUGAUCCACAUUUACUGUGCCCCUCCCCCUCAAUCAUGGACACACUAUAACCCACAUGUACUGCCCCCAUCAUGGACACACUAUGACCCACAUGUACUGCCCCCAUCAUGGACACACUAUAUCCCACAUGUACUGCCCCCAUCAUGGACACACUAUGACCCAUGUUUACUGCCUCCCCCAUCAUGGACACACUAUAUCCCACAUGUUCUGCCCCCAUCAUGGACACACUAUGACCCACAUGUACUGCCCCCCAUCAUGGACACACUAUGAGCCACAUGUACUGCCCCCAUCAUGGACACACUAUGACCCACAUGUACUGCCCCCCAUCAUGGACACACUAUGACCCACAUGUACUGCCCCCAUCAUGGACACACUAUGACCCACAUGUACUACCCCCAUCAUGGACACACUAUGACCCACAUGUACUGCCCCCAUCAUACAUUACACUAUGACCCAUGUACUACUCCCAUCAUGUGAAUAGCCACUAUGACCCACAUGUACUGCCCCCCAUCAUGGACACACUAUGACCCAUGUUUACUGCCCCCCAUCAUGGACACACUAUGACCCAUGUUUACUGCCCCCCCCCAUCAUGGACACACUAUGUCCCACAUGUACUGCCCCCAUCAUCAUCAUUAUUAUUAUUAUUAUUAUUAUUGGUAUUUAUAUAGCGUCAACUUAUUCCACAGAGCUUUACAAUAUUAUUAAAGGGGAAAUUUAACAAUAAAUGAGACCUUUACAAAAUGUUACAGGAACAAUGGGUUGAUGAAGACUCGCUCAAACAAGCUUACAUCACAUGGAUGUAUUAUGAACCACAUACACUGCCCGCAUUGUAGAUGUACUAUGAACCACUUGUAAUCCCCCCGUGGACUCACUGUGACCCAGAUGUGACUUUCUGGUCUUAUUGACCGUGUAUGGUAACUCCGUAUUAUGGAGCUCUGUGCGUAACAAAUGACUGUCUAUCUCUGUCAUGGAAGCGCUAUAUUUUAUUCAAUUUCCAUGUUUCGGCCUCUUGUUAAUGGGAUGUUGCUGCACUUUUGUUUUUCAUCCUGUAGGAGUUCAGGCUCAAGUAGAUAAUGGUGUCUGCUAGCACUGUGUUUCGUAUUAAUUGUAGAUUGUCAUUUAGUAACACACCCUCUGCCCUGCCUGGUAUCCUUGGUGAUCACCUGGUGGACAGAGGACCCAACAACCUGGCAGUGAUUCUGUAAACACAGUAAUUGUUUCUAAAGGUGGAUACAAUGUAUCUGUUUAAACAAUAACCCAAGUAAAUCUAUGUAUAUUUAGAACCACAUCUGAAUCCAUGUAAAUCAUGCAUUAUUGGGGUUGUUUACUGAGAAAUAAUUCAAUUUUUUUGUUUCACAUUCAAAAAAUAAAGCAGUUCACAGGUGUACACGGACAAUAUUUUAGAGCACCUACAAAUUGUUACAAAUGAGCUCUGAACUGGAGCUAUUCCAAAAUGACUUAAUGGCUUUAGUUUAUAUUAAUUAUAAUUAGCGAUUUACAGAAACAUUCUUCCAGUAUAUGUUUUACAUUUUUCUGAGCAUUUUUAUCACUUUUUUUAAAAACACUUUUUUAGAUUUGAAACAUUUUCAAACACUUAAAAGACCACUAUAGGAACCCAGACCACUUCAGCUUAAUGAAGUGGUCUGGGUGCCAGGUCCAGCUAGGUUUAACCCAUUUUGCUGUAAACAUAGCAGUUUCAGAGAUACUGCUAUGUUUACCUAUGGGUUAAUCCAGCCUCUAGUGGCUGUCUCAUUGACAGCCGCUUGAGGCGCUUCCGCGCUUCUCACUGUGAUUUUCACAGUGAGAAGACGCCAGCGUCCAUAGGAAAGCAUUGAGAAUGCUUUCCUAUGAACUGGCUGAAUGCGCGCGCAGGUCCUGUGCAUUCAGCCGGUGACGGAAGAAGAGGGAGGAGAGUCCAAGAGGCGAGGGAGUCUGGAGCUGGAAAAAAGGAAAGGGAUUAACCCCUUCCUCCCCCUUCAGCGCCACGGGAGUGGGACCUAGUAUGUUUUCCUGGCACUAUAGUGGUCCUUUAAGACGUGUGUGCGUGUGCGCAGCAUUCCUGGAAUUGUAUCAACAUACUAAGUCAUUAGUCAUUUAACUCCUUGGUGUCUAAUACUUAAUGUUAAAAAUAAGAAUAGGACAAAAUAGUCGUGACCAACCAACGUAAGAUAUGCAAUGAUACUGUUAAAACACUUGUACUAUUGUUUCUCAGAUUAUUUCAUUAUUUCUUUUUCAAAAAUGUGCUUUUACUUCCUAUGCCAUAAAUAUGUUACUAACUGUUAUCACUACUUCUGCUGUUCUGGCAUUAUGGGUAUCUAUGUUCUCCCAGCACGGAAAAAAUAAAGUGUUUAAAAAAUAAAUAAAUAAAUAAAUAAGGCAAAAUAUACAAAAAAUAUAAAAAAAGUUUAAAAUAUUAAUAUAUACAAAAAUAUUUGAUAUAAAUUUUGUAUGUUUACAAUCAGGUGUGUAGUUAAUAAUUCACUAUUCAAUGGUGGAAAUGGAGCCCACUGUAGAGGUUUUUGCUGUGUAUAGGGGCGGCCUAUUGUGAAAGCUCUCCCUAGAUGCAUGAAGUCCAUGGGAUGUGUACUUUUGUCUGUUAGCCACAAUGCAAUAGCGCAGGGAAAUAGAUAAAGAGGUCCCAUGUUUGACUUUUGUUCACCACACGUGCAAAGGAAGAGCGUCCUGGUAAUGGAGGUCCUGUGGACAACGGGAGAGCUGGUAACGGGGGCAAUUUCCACAGGCCACUAGAAUACAGGGUUUGUGGGUUUGCUCAUCGACUCCUUUGUCAUUCCAACCUAUUGUGGGCUGAUUUUUGUUUUGUUGUGUAAUAGCAACACAGCAGAAAUCUCCUAGAAUUAACAUUUGUUGAAUAUGAAUGUGUCUACAAAUUUUGCGUUUAGUGAAAAACCAGCUCUUUAUUUUUUUCAGUGUGUGCGAAUGGUGGGAGUGUAAACAGGUGGAUCAACAUGUCAGUUUUUUUAAUCUUUCGGCUUCCAUUGCUAAUUCUUAGAUUAACUCAAUUAUACUCAGCUAAUUAUCUUAAAUCUAAAACUGCCUUAUUUUAGGCCCUGUUUAAGUUCUGCUGUUCUAAUUCACUUGUUAUCAUAAGUAAGGAGCCAUGCUAUAGGGUUUCCAAGCGAUCUAAUGAAUUCAUCAGACAACCUGUCAAUGCCACUGAGUGUAGCAAGAGGCACUUUAGGACAUUACACAUUAAUUAGUCAUAUCCUCUCUUACACAAUGCAUUCCUAUGGUUUAACUUUGUUGUGGUUACCACGGUUUGUCAGCCUCACGUAUAUUUGGCUUAUAAACCUGAAUGGCCUUUAAACAACAUAUUCUUUGGCUGGUUUUGCAAAGUGACAAAUAAUUAGCUGUGUGCUAUACAUGGCUGUAAUAUUGCUUACUGUUUAAUGUUCUAUUGCUUAAUGUCAAAGAUUUUUUUGAAGGUUUGUACUCCAUAUUUUAUUGUUUGCGAACAGUUUCUAGAUGAUAGGAGCAAGGUGGGCUCGCAUUGGACAUUCCUUUAAAUUCUAAAGACAUUAUUAUCGUUUUAUCAGAUUAGUAUUGUAUCGUUGUCAGAUACGCAGAUCAUAUCCUUUUAUUCACUAAACUGUGAAUUGGGGAGUUUUGGCAAGGGAAUUGUGGAUUUUAUGGAAAAAUAGUUAAAUUUAGUGAAUGAAACCCAAAUCUGGAAGUAUAUAAUCAUCUAACAUAUUAUUGUAUACUGUAGAGUUUCCAUUCUCUGGAACCAAAGGUCUUAACACUAACUAUGAAAAAUAGUCUCAGGUCUUUAUUCCUCCACCUCUAAACAUUAAAGUUGCAAAAUUGGAAGCGCUUCAGACUGGGUUUUUUGCCUUCUUUUGGAUCAACAGCAAAAACAUAUGUGAGGAAGGCUGAACUUGAUGGAUGCAAGUCUCUUUUCAGCUAUGUAACUAUGUAAUUAUACAGCACAGUCCUGUAAUAACAAAUACAUACAAUAUAUAUUAAAGACCGUUAAUAUUCUUAAAAAGACCAGAUAGUGCAUUUUUCUUCAAUAUAAUUAUUUAUCAGCAUAAGAUUGCACCAGGGCACUUUACUAUUCAUUACAUCAGGAAGGGUGAGUGCCAUUAUUUGUGCUAUAUAUAUAUAUAUAUAUAUAUAUAUAACAAAAAAUAUGUACAAGGAGCACUCACAGGUCUUCAUCAAAAUUCUGAUUUAUUUGUUAGUGCAGGUUAAAUGUGCAGGUUUAGAUGACCGACGUUUCAACCCUUACAGGGUCUUCUUCAAGAUCAAUAGUACAGUAUACAAAGUGAGUAUAUAUACACAAUAAUAAUACUGAUAACUUACCAACAGGUGUGUGAGAGAGAAAGCCGCCAGCCGUCCGAAACCCGGAAAUGCAUCAGAGGAAUCACGUAAGCAACGUGAUGUCGGAUAGACGGCGUUGCUAAGCAACGUAUCAAACUAAAUGUGUGUGGCCGGCUGUGCUCAAAAACAGACAGAACAAACGUGGUGAUAUAUAAUGAUCACCCUGUGCGGGGAUCCAUAAAUGAAAAGAAACAUAUUCUAAGGAGGAUACUUAUGUGAGCCACCUACCAGUCCUAUGAUAGUCGCCCAUGCAGAAGUGAGCCACUCUGGAUGUGCAAAAUAGAUGUGCAAUAUUAGUGAAAGACAAUUUACUGUGAAACCAGUGAAGAUAUCCAAAUGUGCCCACCUACAAAGGGUCUAUUACAAAGGAUCUGUCUAAUAAUAUCUAUAUUAUAAAAAAAACUUAUCGUGUGUACAUACACACAAAAUGAGUGUAAAUGUACACCACAUACAUGUUACAAUUCCAUACCCCAAUGAGUAUCAUAAACAAUACACCUUUUUACAUCUUUUUACACACCAAAUCGCAGAUUACACUGUAAUAGUCUAUACACAGCACAUAAUAUCGGUAUUUGUCCUCCUUAAUUCACAUAAUUACAUAUUAAAUAUGGGCCAUGUUAUUAGUAACCAUGGCAAUGACAGGCGCUGUGUCCACCUUAAAGACACAGUACCUGCGUUAAACAAAUCCUCUUAAAAUACUACAGAAUGAAGAACUACUCAUCUACAUCUUUAUAGAGGAUAUACCAAUGAGCAAUAAAGUAAUAAUAAAGAAAUGUGACAAAAAAUUGCCUAUAUUAUAAUGGUACCUGCUUCUACAUACCAAUUUCAAGUAUGUGUUAUAGCUCCCCCUAUACAGUGUACUCGACAAGGCUAUAAAGCUAGUGAAGAGUAAACUGCAUACUAAUUAUAUCUAUAUAACACACCAGAAGACAGGGUGAAAAUAAAAAAAAAAUUGCCUUGUUCAUGUCAGAUACAACUGCUUUUAAUUAUGGGCAUCUAUUAUGCGGGCACUCUCUUGUUAUAUAGUGCUAUAUUAUAAAUACACACAAAAAAUAAACAUGUACCAUGGAUGUUUGCUCUGUACACAUUAUUUCCAUUGUUGCAGCUCGUUUAAGUUGUUCAGGUGACACUCUAGUCACCUGAACAACUUUAGCUAAAUGAAGCAGUUUUGGUGUAUAGAACAUGCCUCUGCAGAAACAAAGUGAUUUAACUCCUAAAUGACAGUGAAUUGAGCAGUGAAAUUGCAGGGGAAUGAUCUAUACACUAAAACUGCUUUAUUUAGAUAAAGUAAUUUAGGUGACUAUAGGGUUCCUUUAAGUACAAAAUUAAUAGGAGAAGCAUUGGAUAUAUUCGUGAAUGACAUCACACUUAUGAUGUCACAUGCACGUGCGCACUGUAGAUCAUUUAGACAUUUCAGUCGUGUUAGAAGAAUUUGCAGUGUAGUCUGUGCAUUUUCUUCUACGUGUGACCGAUAAAUCCACCGAUGACUCAGCCUUCAAUUAUUAUUUUGAAAUUACAGUAAAUAAACGGACUCUGUGACUCAUAAUUAAACAAGAUUGUUUUUCUCUUGCUUACAGGAGGCGGUGUGAUGGGAGCAGCGGGGCGCAACGCUGCUUUGGUUGCAGUGCAAAACCUUAAGCGUUCUGUUUUCUAAGCCUGGAUUAGUGUUUCAGCCAGCAGGAUCUGAAAAUUUAUGUUGUGCUUUAGGACUUUUUGAUUUACUUAAUUCAUGUACAUUUUUCGUAACAACAAACAGCUUCAAAUAAAAAAAAUGAGGAAUCUCACUUACUUGCAUAAGCUUUAUACUAAUAUAAUGCAUUGUGUUCAACACUGAUAUGGUUUUAUUAUUC